AACUAGCUUCCAUCUCUUAUUUGCUUUCCCUUUUGCCAGCCCCAGCACCACUGAUUCCUGAAGGAGACUGCUACUGGCAGGGAUGGUCUCCACAUGAAGCAGAAGCAGGUUACUGAAAGCAGUGCUGAACAUUUAGGCCUGUAUCAGCAGGAAGUCAUCCUGUAAAGGCCAUUUCCAGCAGUCUCCACUUGAUUCCUGAUGGGUGUAAACUGACUGCUAGUCGCACACAGGUUUUGUGAAGAGCAGUGCUUUGAGCUUCUCGGUGGUUUCAUGAAUGCAUUUCUAUUAAUGGAGUUCUGUUGAAUCCAAAGCAGUUCAUUUGGGCGUAAGAACUUUCCGAGUCACACACAAAAUAGUAUGUAACAAUACAUACUAUUAUUACAACCCAUGAAAUGGGUCGCUGCAAUGAAGUAUGCAUUCAGAAGGAACAAAUCUCUUUGCUAUAUGGAUAGAACUGGAAUAAUUGUAAUUUGUAAUAACUAUGAAUUAAUUAUUAGUGCAAAAUCACACUGUCCUCUUAACAUAUAUUUUUGCGAUUUAAAUAUUGACUAUAUGCAAGCUUCCAGAGAAUUCCCUCAUUUCUAUUCCUCCUCACUGAAAUAUGAGUUAUAAUUUUAUUGAAAAUAUUAGCCAGCUGCUUUCUACUGCUCCAGUCAGCUCACAUAAAAAUCGUAUAAGAGCAGUAAAAUAAAACCAAAAGCACCAAUAAAAAUUAAAAGGAACAGCAGAAAAAGAAGAACCUGGAAUAAAUCUGGAUCCUCUUCUGGAAUAUAUGGGCUUUAUAACACUUCUAGAAGGCAGUGAGGAACGAAUAGCCCUGUGCUUCCUCAUGGAAUUUAUUUUAAUGUCUUGAGGCCAUUGCAGUAAAAGCCCUGCUCCUAACAGCAACUGUUCCAACGUUGCAGAGGAAAGGAACUUGGAGAAAAUCCUGGAAAACAAUUCUGGGCAAGAUUAGUAGACUCUCAUAAGCCCCCUUCAGAUGACAUCCUUGUUUAUGCUGUCUAAAGAACUGCAUAGAUGUGGCAUCCCUGUUGGCAAGCAGCUGCAGGAGGAGCAAGAAGACAGCAGAGGGCGAGACAUCAUCUCCAAGAGUCAGCCAGUGAGAAACACAGCCACCCUAGGAUGGAUGCAUUUAUGGGCUGCUCUGAACCCGUCUCUCUAUGGUGGUGGGAGGAGCUUGCACAUGAAACCCAGGUUAUAGUGGUGGCAGAAUUUGGGUGCCACAAUGCUGCCUUCUAACCUCAGGUUUCAGCAGCGAACCUCACUAUAAAAUAAGGGUUCAAAUUCAGGUUUGGGAGCAAAAAUAGAUCUUCAGUUGUGUGACGAAACGGUGGCUUCACGCUUUUGGACAAUCACAAACUCAAACCUCUGGCACGUUUACCUCUGGUUUGGCAUUAUGUCAGGAUGGGGCCUCUGACUCUUCUGAAUUGUGGCCUGUUUAAAAAAGAAUAGCAGAGCUAGCCAAUCUGACCACAUCCAAUCCUUAUGUACAACAUAGGUGAUUGUAUAUUAUAUCAUACCCUACAAGAUUAUCUAAGCAUGCAAGUUAGUUUCAUUGCCUUUGUUGUGAUAUCUAUAUCAAUGAAUAGAGAGAGUUAGCCUUAACUGAAUUGAUUAGUCUGCACAAAUUUGUAUGUAUGCUUAAUAGCAGACAUGCGAAAUCAAAGCCAAAACAAAAACCCUUCCAUAACAUUUCACAUCUGGUGAGAGAAAUAGUGUCUAAGAACAAAAUAUUUAAGUAAGUUUUUUAAAAUUACACUGAUUUGUGCCUUUGUAAUUAUAACGAUUUGUGCCUUGUGGAACAACUAGCUAUGGGGAGAAGGGAUGUAAAUAUUUUAAUAGUUAUAAUAUUGUUGUGUAUAUACUUAAUUACAUUGAUUUGUGCCUUGUGGAAGGAAUUUUGAAUCUAGGGUUGAGCACGAUGAUUUCUUGAAACAGAAUACAUUUCCUUGUUUUGCUAUUUUUUUAAAAAAAUAUUUAAAUUACAUGAUGGUUGGUUGUUCUUUAUUCAGCAAAGGAACAAAAACUGUUGGGACAUUUUGCGGAAAUUGGCAUCCAUUAAUUGUAUGACUGUACAACAUUAUGCCAUGCUGAUGGAGAGGCUUGUGCUAUAGUUGUCUCUGCUUAAAAAGGCGAGUUUCUUUAAAAAACACUUUCACUUUAA